UGACCCAAUAAGCCGCUC
rnacentral:snRNA from 1 species